rnacentral:rRNA from 1 species
UACGAAGGGGCUAGCGUUGCUCGGAAUUACUGGGCGUAAAGGGCGCGUAGGCGGCACUGUUAGUCAGGCGUGAAAUUCCUGGGCUCAACCUGGGGACUGCGCUUGAUACGGCAGAGCUUGAGGAUGGAAGAGGGUCGCGGAAUUCCCAGUGUAGAGGUGAAAUUCGUAGAUAUUGGGAAGAACACCGGUGGCGAAGGCGGCGACCUGGUCCAUUACUGACGCUGAGGCGCGACAG